AAACAGGUAAGCUAAUUAAGCUACUGGGUUCAUACCCCAUUUAUAAAGGUUAUAGUCCUUUCCUUUUUA
rnacentral:tRNA from 1 species